GUGUUGCUCAUGGGUAGAGCAUCUGCUUGGCAUGCAGAAGGUUCCAGGUUCAACCCCCAGCAUCUCCCA